CUCUACGUACGUAGCUAGCCAGCCAGUAGGACUAGUUCAUCUGUGCGUGUGCCGACCUACAUAUAUAUAGCUACAUAUUUGGUGCUUAAUUUGUUAUUGGUCUCUCCCUACGUGCCUGGAGCUGGUGGUCAAAAGUUUUUGAUGGGUCCUUCUUCCUUGGUUUAGUUGAGACUUCAGAGUAAUUUGGGUGUUAAUUAAGAGAGAUUGUUUAUUUUCUGUUUGCUACUCCAGAUUGUUUAGCAGAGCUUAGUGGCUAGGAACUUGUAAGACAGUGGUUUCUGCUGGAAUGAUUGAUCCAAGAAUUCGUUGUAGCUUGUGAACCUUUUGCUUUGUCAGUAGCUUGUGAAUUUGGGUGAUAGUAGGGAGUUAUUCAUGUUUUACUUUGCUGGCUCGUUCAUCGAGUUUAACCGAACAAGUUUCACCAUAGUACCCCUCAAAAAAAAAAAUCACCAUAGUCACUGGUAAAAAAACACUGAACAUAAAUACUCCAGUGUAGAUCUGAACUGUCGACAUGGGGACCGAAUAAACAGAGGAGGCAGAUGAUGCAUGAUUCAGAAUUCAGAGCAGUGCGCACUUCACCAGAAAAAAACCAGGGCCUGAAAAUCUCACCUGAUCAUUCCACGCCUUCCCAGUUCCAGUUGCCAAUCAGACGAGGAGGUGCUCGUUUUCUAUGUCCAAUUUCCGGUCAUAUUACUCAGAAGCUGCCGAACAGCACACCCGGCAUGCACAGUAGCGCCUGCACUUGCACUUCAGAAACUGUGACCAUGAUUGUACGUACUUCAGAACUGUGGUUUUGAUUUACAUGCCGUAGGUGUGUUGUUUUCUUGUUCAAGCAGGGAAAUGCACACCUGGGAAGUUUGAAUGCAGAGGAAAAUGGAUUAACAAACUUAAAAUUCAGAUAAUUCAUACAUAUCACCCUUUGGGUGCUAGACUCCUGGGUCGUUCAUUGAGUUUAACCGAAGAAAUUUCACCAUGGUCACUGGUAAAAUCACUGAACAUAAAUACUCCAGUGUAGAUCUGAACUGCCGAAAUGGGGACCGAAUAAACAGAGGAGGGCAGAGUAUACAGGAUUCAGAAUUCAGAGCAGUGCGCUUCACCGGAAAUUCAGAGCCUGAAAUCCUCACCUGAAUCAUUCCCAUGCCUUCCCAGUUCCACCAAUAAGACGAGGAGGUGCUUGUUUUUUAUGUCCGAUUAACAGUCUUAUUGCUCAGAAGUUGCAGAACAGCACACCCGGUAUGAGUGGCGCCUGCACUUCAGAACCAUGACUUUGAUUGAACGGCCUGCAUCUCAGAACUGUGGUUUUGAUUUCCAUGCCGUAGGUGUGUUGUUUUAUUCUUCAAGCAAGAGAAAUGCACGGCUGGGAAGUUUGAAGCAUUGGUUCCGUUUGGGAUCAGCCAAACUGCAUAUUCGGUAAUGCAGAGAAAAAUAAAUUAUUUAAAAAUUCAGAUAAUUCAUACAGAUCACCGUUCAUUGCUACAAUUAUAGUCAGCGAGUUGCUACUAGGUUUCCCAUGAGCCCUCCACCAAGUUCAUAGUGCUUGGCUGAGGAAAACCCUGCUUCUUUGGCUAACUUCUCCAACUCCUCUCCUGGACAACAGAUAAACAAAGACAAGCUUGAGGUAAAUAAAGGAAGGUGAUAAAAUCGUGAAGUAGUUCAUAGUCAUUGGUGAAAUGGCACAUACCACUCCAUCGUUUGGAACAAAAGAAUUCACUAUUAUCUUAAAAAAAGCAGAAUGAUAUGUACAUCUAUAUAAUGUCAUGGCUUUGCACAUGAAGGAAAUAGAUGGUAAAUGUACUCCAUCAGGACAAGUUGAGAUGUCUGUUGAUGUACUUGUGCUAUCAGAGUAGCAAGUUUUGAGAUACACCACUCUUGGUUUAUUCUUUUUUCUAGGUGCACUCUAGUUUAGUUCAUAGACACGCACUAUGUGUUACAUGAUGAUGUGAUAUGUUUUCUGUCAUGGAAGUUUUCACAGGAACGAAACAUUAUGUUCAAACCUGUAAGAUACUGUGAUAUCGAACUUUUCAAGUACUUGUACUCUUCAGUAAGUCCAUAGCUACUAGCCAGAGGAACGACCACAUUAUCGAUCGCCCAACUCUGUCCAAGAAAAAAAAAUUAGUGAGGAUUGUAGGAUCAGUUCCAAAGUCUUAUAUGGGGCAUGAAGCCAACAUGUGAUUUUGCUACAAUGUCAUGGUGGAAAAGUGGAUGAUUGGUCUUUGUCAGAAAAGUUUAACAGGCCAAUUCAUCCCGUAUCAUGUAUGCAAGAUGGGGUGAAACUUUACUUGUAAUGAUGCCGUGAAAAUUGAGGAGCUCUUGUUAAAAUCUAGAACAGAUGCUCGUGAUCCUGCAGUCUAGAAAAACCAAAUCAUGAGAAUUCAUGCUGAACUGAAACAGAAUUUGAACCGUACACCCAACCUGGUUUUAGGACUCUAAGGAUCUCUUGCAUUGCUUUGGGUCUGUCAACCACAUUGCGCAAUCCAUAACCAACUGUAACAGCAUCAAAGUAACGGUCCGUGAAAGGUAAAUCAAGUGCAUCGCCCUCGAUCCAUCUGCAACAAAGCAUAUCAGCAUAUCGUUAGCCAAGCACAUAAGUUGCUAGCCUGACCAAAAGACAAGCACAUUCUGCAUAUCCUCACAAAACCGCACAUAGCAGGAAUUUCAGAAUUCCCAAGCUCUCACAUUGGGGGUGCUCACUUGAUGUUCUUGUAGCAAGCCUUCCAGCGUUGAUCCUGACGGCUAGCAGCAGUUUGCAGCUGCUUCCCUGAGAAAUCGACACCCAUCACCUGUGGCAUUUGAGAGGUUGGGCCAUAAGAUUACCAACCUCCAAAAAAUUGCUUGGAUAUUCUGAAGUUCUGAACCCUGAAGCCAAUCCGACAUUUCAGUAGAGUACCAACCUCUCCGUCUAGGCCGACCUUCUGAAACAGAAGGAACGCCAAAUCCCCGCUCCCGCAACAGAGAUCAAGAACCCGAUCCCCUCUCUUCGCCCUGAUGUUCAGAAAACAAAAUUUUCCCAUCAACCAGGUGUCUUCUGAAUUCACAUUACCAAGAGACGCAGAUGCGCUUCCACGUCCGGUGCUGCCCCAGGCUGAGCACGUCGUUGAGCUACAAGGAACGCGGCACCGCAGCGCUGUCGUCAGUACAGUACGUAUUUGCCAAUGCAGCGGAAAGGGGGAGGGGAGUGGGAGGCACGGACAUGGUCGUAGACGGGGGCGAUGCGGCUGAAGAGGGCCUGCCGCUCGUCGGCCGCGGAGGAGCAGCGCACGGCGACGGAGCCGCGGCGGCGUCGUCGGCAGCCGGCGUGGCUUAUACCCGUCGCCGUCGCCCCGGCGGUCACGGGAAUCGCCGCGGCUAAGGUGCCCAUCGGUGUCCGUUUGCUCGCCCCCGCCACAUGAUCUCUACUCCUAACGAAGCAGUUGGUAGUCUUGCUUCCAGGUUUUUUUUCGUCCCACCACUUUCGUUCGGUUUUUUUCGUAGGUUAACCGUCGUAAAUUUUUUUCGAUGUUGGUUUCUUAUUCACCGGUUUAUUUACCCCUCAGCUCUUUCCUUGCAAAUCAGCACUUUUCAAACGUGCACGCAAUCACGGAUCUAAAUUUACUAACUUAUUCAAAUCAACCGAUACCUUCCAUUAUUGCAAAUUUCUUUAGGAAACAAAUAAUAGAUUUUAAGGAAACAAAUAAAAGAUUUUAAAGACGCAUCAUACUUUACUAACAAUCACUAAAAAUCAAAUCUAAAUUAAUUAACCUUACCUUAAAUCACUCAAUCACUUUAAUUAGAAAACAUUUUCUUUCCUAACUGCACCCCGCUUAGUGUGCACAUAACAAUCCGAAGUAAUUAGAGUCACAUGAUUGAAUCCAUUUAUUUAGAGCGACAUGAUUGCGUUCCGGGAUGGAGGCCAUGAUUUCGUCGAGGUCGUUGUUGCCUCCUACACUCAGGGUGUGUCGCCGAGAUCGAGGCGAGCAUGAGGAGCUGUGGCCACUGCCAUGGUCACCCCAUCGCAGGGGAUGGAGCACGCCGUCGGCCUACAGCUUGUGGAGAUCACUGUUGCUCUCCUAAUGGAGCAGUUGGUAGUCUCGCUUCUAGGUUUUUUUUCGUCCCACCACUUUCGUCCGGUUUUUUUUCGUAGGUUAACCGUCGUAGAUUUUUUUUCGAUGUUGGUUUCUUAUUCACCGGUUUAUUUACCCCUCAGCUCUUUCCUUGCAAAUCAGCACUUUCCAAACGUGCACGCAAUCACGGAUCUAAAUUUACUAACUUAUCCAAAUCAACCGAUAUCUUCCAUUAUUGCAAAUUUCUUUAGGAAACAAAUAAUAGAUUUUAAGGAAAUAAAUAAAAGAUUUUAAAGACGCAUCAUACUUUACUAACAAUCACUAAAAAUCAAAUCUAAAUUAAUUAACCUUACGUUAAAUCACUCAAUCACUUUAAUUAGAAAACAUUUUCUUUCCUAACUGCAUCCCGCUUAGUGUGCACAUAACAAUCCGAAGUAAUUAGAGUCACAUGAUUGAAUCCAUUUAUUUAGAGCGACAUGAUUGCGUUCCGGGAUGGAGGCCAUGAUUUCGUCGAGGUCGUUGCUGCCUCCUACACUCAGGGUGUGUCGCCGAGAUCGAGGCGAGCAUGAGGAGCUGUGGCCACCGCCAUGGUCACCCCAUCGCAGGGGAUGGAGCACGCCGUCGGCCUACAGCUUGUGGAGAUCACUGUUGCUCUUCAGGUCGCGUGGUGACCGGAUCUUGCCGAUGUGUCCCUCCCCGACGACCUCCUCUUCGCCUGGUUGGCUGGCAUGGAUCUCGCCACUACUGCCCUUAACUUCUCUGCCUCGAGCUCGACGGUCAGCCACCAUGGAUCCCCCAGCUGGAGGGUCACGUGAACCAGCCGUCCUCCCAUGCUGCAGCGGCGAGAAUGUGACAUGGCUCUCCGUACACGAAGAGUGGAGUUCGGUCAAGUACUUAUAUACUUGGCCUCUACUGCUGAUCCAUGUACAUGGAGAAGAACAGGCAACUGCUCAUUCAUGCUUCGUUCCACUCCUUUGCGCUACAUUACUGGAGGUGACAUUUUUCUAUCUCUCUAUGUUGUAACAAGCCUGCUGCCUGCAUAGUUAAUGGAUUUUUUUUAUUUAAAUUUAUCGCUGCUUAGUGCUUUGUUGCAAUUGUUCACCCAAGAUUCUUAUAUAUAAUCUGAGCGUAUGUAGGCAUACUUAGCUUUGCUAUUCCAUUUUUUCCUGGCGCAUAGAAAUAAGAGUGUUGUCCAGGUUAGGUAUUCAAUUGAGUAUGGUAUUUAGAUUGCUAUCAGAAUGUCUUUUCUAUGCAUGUGAUUUCUCAUAUCUGAUUAUAAUAUUUGUGAAGUCGUGCAUUGCACGUGCACUUGGAAGCGGGCCCGUGGCCCGCGCUGGACGGCGCCGACGCCGACCCGAACCACCUCGUCCGCGUAUUCUUGGAGUUGUGGCUGGUCGAUUUACAUGAAAUUAAUUCCCUCAAUUCUGGUGGCAAAUAUAAUACACAUAAUCCAUAUUGUUAUGCACUAGCGUGUAUGUGUGAAAUAGAUGUAUUAUGGUCCCGUACCCAAUAAGAUGGAUAUGUGUGUGUGUUAGAGCGAGAGGGAGACGGGGAUAGAGAGUGAGGAAGAGGGAGGGAGAGUGUGGUUCUGUGUGUGUGAAGAUUUGAUGGUAAAAAAAGUCGCCAAUGUCAUAAUAUUGAACUGUUAAAGUUAAUGUGGCCCCGUUGCAACGCACGGACGUUCUUCUAGUUAGGAUAGGUUACUAGUAGUAUGACUAGGUUUGACUGGUGACCAUUGACUCUUUUGCCCCUGCCUCUGAAGCUCAACUAUUUGGGAGUUCUCCACCCUCGCCGCCGCCGCCGCCUGCAUCCCGGGGGAGAGCGAGGGUCUGGGUAUGGACGUGGGGUCCUGCAACCUCGGCGGCAACGCCGACGCGGUGGAGUUCUGCCCGCACCGCCCCUUCCGCCACAUCCUGGCGGCCGCCACGUACACGCUGCAGGAGCAGGCGGGGGAGGAGCAGCAGCAGCAGGACCGCGCGGGCACCGUGUCGCUCUUCUCCGUCGACGCUGGCGCUGAGGACGAGUCCCGACGUCUCCGGCUGCUCCACACGGUGGAGACCGCCGGCGUCUUCGACAUGAAGUGGAGCCCCACGGCGCCGCUGCUCGCGCAGGCCGACGCCCACGGCCGCCUCGUGCUCCGGCGCCUCGAGCAUGAAGACGGCUCGGACGAAGGUGCUGCUUGCUAUUGCUUUUACUAUCUUAGCAAAUAUUGAAACAAAUACAGUAUGUUGUUAUGUUAAAAAAACAGGGCCAUGUGUUAACUGUUAAGUGUAACUGGUAGCAUCUGCUGGCAGGCUACGUUUCAUUAGGACUAGCAUGACCAGGUUUUGGUUGCCGAUGUUCAUACUAAAGGGGUAGUUUAAUCUGGAUUCAGAACAAGCUGUUUGUGGGCUGCGAUAUUCCGGGAAGAUUGCCAUUAUUUGUUGAUAACUAGGGUAAAUUGCUGCUGAUUGAUGAUCAAAGUAAAGUUGGGUUCGUCUGCUAGUCUUCUCGAAAUGCAUUGCUCAUAUUUUUCAUAAUAUCGUUGUUCGAUUAAAAAGUUAGCCUGGUGAAUUCCGUACUGAUCCCGGGAACUGAUGUAGCUGUAAACUAUAAACACUUCAUAUAUGUAAUAUCUUGAUCAUGUCUAAAAGUACAUGUACAUCCUGAGGGCUGAUACAAGUGCUUUGUAUGACCAAAUUACACAGGUGUUGUUCUCACAGACGUGGUUGCUGGAAACAUUUCUUCAUCAAUGUGCUUGUAUGUCGACUGGAACCAAAAUGCCGAUUCCCUGGCCGUUGCAUUAUCAGAUGGUUCACUGUCUGUGGUUCCCAUGAGAGAGGACCGCCUGGAGGUAUCAGAACAAUGGACUGCUCAUCAGUAUGAAGUUUGGACAUGUUAUUUCGAUCGUGCAAGACCACACUUGUUGUACAGUGGAUCGGACGACUGCUCUUUCGGUUGCUGGGAUUUGCGGGAAAGCCUAUCGAAUGCUGUGUUUCGGAAUAAGAAGACUCAUACUAUGGGUGUGUGUUGCAUUGCUCAGAACCCAUUGGAGGGGAAUAUGCUACUCACUGGAAGCUAUGAUGAAUUUCUCAGAGUUUGGGACAUGAGAUCAAUGAUGAAACCUGUGAACGAGAAGUCCCUGAAUUUAGGAGGUGGUGUAUGGAGGUUGAAAUAUCAUCCUAAUAUUGCAGAUGUAGUAUUGGCUGCAUGCAUGCACAACGGUUUUGCCAUUGUUAAAGCAGGGGCUGGAGAUGCUACCAUAAUGGAAACAUAUUGCAAGCAUGAGUCCUUAGCAUAUGGUGCAGAUUGGCAGACUAGUGAAGCAGCGGAACAUAACACAAAUUCUUCAGUUAUUGCUACUUGUUCAUUUUAUGACCGCCUUCUCCGUGUGUGGCAACCAGAGAACCUAGUCAACCACCCAACCUCUAAGGCGUAAAACAUCAUUAUGCCCAGUUGAAGCAUCAAUAUGGCAUGGACCAACCUAUUCCCUGAAUGAACCAAAUUGAUUUCAUUCAGGUAGCUCUUUGAAUUUAUGUUAAUUUAUUUCAAAUGGUGAGCUUAUAGUAGUAUGAUGUCUAAUUUAUAGCUAGGCAUUCACAGUAAUCAGUAUUUGUUGUAAGCUUCCACAAAACUUUGAAGUUAUCUGUUCAUGUUAUUUGAGCACAAACUGUUUUGAAGUUCAUCUGGUGACUGGUGCAUAGAAGCGAUGAUUCAGCAACAAUCUAGACAUCUACCUGGAAGAGCCUCUGACUGAGCUUUUUGCUGGUCAUAAACUAAUAAUUCUGUCUGAAAACUUACAGUAUGCUGUAUGCAGUGCUUUCUUAUUUUUCUUUUUGAUCACAUUCUGAUAACGGCUGGAAUGGUUACCGAUUUUACUUUUCCAGUGCAUGCACUGUUGCUUAUAUUAACCUACUGUGCAGUAUGGUCAACAUGCUAAUCACGAUUCUUAAAAGUGUUGGAUCAUUGUUUUUCUUGGAUGAAAUUUGAGGUAUUGGGUAGUUGCCACAGCCUCAGCGGGCCAAAACAAGGACAAAAAAGUUGUUAGUUACUUUUCUGAUAAGUUUUGUUAGUUACUUUUCUGAUAAGUUAAAAAUAUAUUGCAGUCUAGUGUAUCUUACUAAGUUACUAGUGACUCAUGAAGCAAUAAUCAAACCACGCUUCAGUAGAGCUACUUUAUUCUUUAUCGUUUGCAUUUUCCCAGAAAGUUCUGAGUCCUGCCUUUGUGCUAAUCACACAUGGCUCAGAAGGCAGGACGCAGAACAGAUCAACUGGUCCAGUUUACAGAACUGUUCUGCUCCUAUAUUGGUGAAAAUAAUGAAGACAUGGAUCAAUUUUGACAUGUACUUCCUCCGUAAAGAAAUAUAAGAGCGUUUAGAUCACUACAAGUACAUGUCAAAAUUGAUCCAUGUCUUCAUUAUUUUCACCAAUAUAGGAGCAGAACAGUUCUGUAAACUGGACCAGUUGAUGUUUACAGAGGGAGUACUUGACAGUGGUAUAAAUAACUAUGGGUAAUAUUUGAAGAUAACUUCAAAGGAUGCUUCAAUUUUUUGUGACUUGUUCUGAAAUCAUAAGAGGCAAAUCAUCUACAGUAGAAUGUGAUACCUUGGUAAUAAUGGACAAGAUGAGAUCUGUGUCACUUUGAAUAAACGGGAAUGCUGGUUGGCAAGUCAGAGAAAUAGAAUAAUGAGAAUCAUAUGGUUUGCUUGGGAUGAUAAGCGAAGAAAGCUCUAAGGUUUCCCUUCCUGCAUCCUUCUAUCUGACACCACUAAGUACUAACUGUGCACUAAUAAGAAUUAUCUGUUUCUACAUCAGGCCACCAAGAAUAGCUGUACUCCGAACAUGAACAAUAAAGAUAGUGAUGUGUUCAGUCUUAUGUAGCUAAGUAACCUUUGUUGUUUUCUGACCUUUUUCCUUAAAAAGGAUCCAAUAACAACUGUUUGUUUAGGUUAGCUACCAAGGGGACUUGAAUUUCAUUAUGCUAGAAUGGCUUACACUAGCUGGUUUAGUUGUGCUCUUAGGCCUUCGCCUGAUGGCUGACAUGCAGUGGGUAUGUUAAUCCACCCUUCAGCUGAGCAUAAUAGUGUUGUAUUGAUUCAUCCCACUGAUUUGCACGAAGCAUCUAGACCCAAGACCUAAGAGGCUAUGUGACAACUUAUUGCUUGAAUUUUCAUUGUAGAUAAUCUGAUUUACUGUCUGACAUAAAAUCUCUAGUUUGAUCCUACUCAUCUUUGCAGCCCUAUUGUAUUGAAUUGACAAUAUAGUUGACUUUCCAGACCUUAUCUGCUGAUGUCAUGGCCUCCUUUGGUUUCAUCAUGAAUGGCUACUCAGGGGAUUCUUUGACGUGAAGGGGGUCACCCCUACAUGGCUAAACCUAAUUUAUGGGUUAGUCUGGUAAGAAUACUGUAUCUAUGUUCCAGAGUUUAACUUGAUAAGUAAACACGGGCCGUUAUACAUCUGUUUUACUCUCCUUAAGCAUGAGAAACCUAAUUUCCAACCCUGAACAUGAUAUAUAUUUUUUGAACGGAAAAUUAUAGGGGAGGCUCGACAGUACAAAUUUAGUAAAAUAAGUACUCCCUCGGAUCCAUAUUACUUGUCGCUGUAUAACUUUGUACUAAACCAGCGACAAGUAACAUGGAUCGGAGGGAGUAGUAAUAAUCUGGUAAGCCUGCUCAUCAUUCAUUCUGUAAGAGAGAAGGAAAAGGUCUCUUUUAAUGAGGAAAGGCCAGGAGGCUAAACUAGGAGGAAUAUUAUGAAAAAAUUCUAGCAUUUCUUUGUUUCCAAAUGUUCCAAGCUGCUACAAGAAAGGCUUCUCUGGAGAGAGAUUUGCUGAGAGGAAGGAGCAAGGUGAAGAUUAAUUGAGGCCUAGCAGCCUCUGCUGAAGGAGCAGUUCCAGAAAAUAUGAUCACGAGUUUCAAGGGUCCCUGAGGUACGCAAACGCAGCUGGAACCGCCAUUCGUAUGAAAGUUACGUCUUUCAAGCAUAUCUUUAGUAUUUAGUCUGUCAUUAAAGAGUAAACAGGCAAAAGCUUUGAGUUUGGCUGAGCAUUUGAAUUUCCUCAUCCACGAGGAGAUGCUGUAUAUUUGGUCGCAUAAUAGCCAUUCCCCAAUUAGUCAGCUCUACAGCAGCUAUAGGAAUUACCCACAUAACCAUUGGUAAGAAGUGUAAGUAACUUGGUUAAAAACAUAACUCUAGUAUCUACUGCCUGCCUGCCUGGAUUUGAUAGAAUCAACCAGGUACAGCAUGUUCCGUUGGCCAUCACCAGGUGGUAACCAACCAAUCACUAUGGUGGGAACCACAAACCUUGGUUGUCUCUGACGUCACUGAUUGGUGCAUUUCUGCGAGGGCACUCACUAUGUGCAUCCCUCAGCCAUCUAUUAAAAGAACGAACAUUCAGAAAGUUCAUUGGAUUGCUCCACUUGAUUGCGGCCAACGAUUAAAUCCCACUUUGGUGGAGCAGUGGAGCCCCACGAUUGGUGGUAGUGAUUUCCUUGCUGUCGUACUGGGAGCACUUGUCCACUGAUUAUACGUAGUUGAUUUUUUUUGAGGAUUUAAUGUAUAUUCAAGGAUGGCCCAGGUGGGACUCGAGAGUGCUAAUCUUACUUGGAAGUUGGAACUGAGAUCUGGUGAUCAUGUCAACUUUAACAGCAUCGAGAUGGGAGACGAUUUAAUUAGAUAGAGGACUUUCUAGUACUUUACACUCCAGGGUGGGGAAAUGCAGCACUUCGGAUAAGAAUGAAGUAGUGGCUGAAUAGGAAGGCCACAUUGCUCUAUCUCCAUAUUCUAAAAGGCAUAGCUUUAGAGGUGGAGUGUGCUUCUUCAGCUUUUUGUAAAGGCUUUUAGGCUACCUUUAUAUUUUAUAGUACAUUCAGCCCACAUGAUCAGUUCCUGAAUUUCAUUUUGUUGGGAAAUAUCGCUUGCUGAAAGUACUGCUUGGCGAGGAAGGACCUACAUAACUGACAUUUUUAUGAGAAAACACAACUGGUAAAUUAGAGGUGCUAUUGGAUAAAACUGAAAAGGCUAAUGUCAAUGGAAUUAUGGGACAAGGAGCGAAGACCAAAUGACAAAUCAAGGAGAUAAUGAGGUAAAAAUCUGUACCUUGUGAAAAGAGAUGCUCACGAAGUUUACCGGUCUAGAUGCCCUGGAAUUGGAUGUUGAUUGCAACUGCUGCCUUACCUUUCUUAAAAUAUAGGUUUAACAUUGUUCUCGUGAGUAAAUAAAAUGUUUUUGAUAACAGUGGGUCUGGAAGUGGAAUGGGAAUUUCUCUAGAGAGAGAAUGUAGAUGAAAUUGACAUGCAGCGAGGCAACAACGACAUCAUUGUGAAUCCCAGCAAUUGAGCACUCGACACAGUAAAGUUUAGUUUACUCUCAUUGUCCUUUCUCCAAUAAUGCAUUGUACGCUGGCCAAUUUAAAAUGCCACCUUGCAGAUUCUUGGUGCUUGCACUAUGAUUUACCUGGCAAAGCACCUGCAGACAUCAGCAGCCUCACGAGCAUAUAAGGCAACCCUUCCCUCUCCUCUUGUCCACAGCCCCUACCGACUAUGGAAGGCGCAUGGCUCGAGCAUCUACAUGGCUCAUGAGAGCAGAAGCAGGGCCGGGAUGAACCGCAAAGCUGAGCGCUUCAGCUUGCGGUGCCUCUCCUGACCUCCCAGGUGGUCGCCUGAGGUACGCAAGAAUCGGCAAGUCACAAAACGGCAAUGGUGAACUCCGGCAGGAGUCCACCCCCCUUUUAUCCUUUUCUCUCCAUUCAGUUGUAUCAGGUGGAAGUCGAAUAAUCGGAAGUCUCUGUGUGUGAUGAAUCAGUGGAUGCUUCAAGUCCAUGUUUUGUUUUUCUCUUCCUUUAUUAUGUGUACUCUGGAAACACUACUAUAAAUGGCUGAUGUUCAUCUAGCAAAACCACUUUAUGGUGUCUUGUUUGAUUCUCUUGUGUCGUCUUUACCGGUUAACUUGUUAUAUAUGCUGCUUCGAAACAGAUUGGUGUAUGCUGUCUGUGCAGAAUACACUGCAUAUUUUGAACUCUGUGGCUCUUUUAAAUACGUUGACCCUACAGCGAUCUGUGCUGCUAUAAACAUAAUAUUUACAUGAUGUACUCCAAGGCAGAGAUUUUCUGGAAUUUUUUAUGAGCUAAAAAACAUCUAUAUGAAAGAUGGCAAUAAGAUCUAAAACUGAAAAGAGAAGGGGAACAAGUGAUGAAAAGGUUUCCCCCUUCUGGCUGUCUGGGACUUUAGCAUAUCUUGUGGACAAGUCCUGACUGGUACACUGAAAAAAAAUCAGCCAUGGUGCAAGCCAAUGAUGAUCUUCAUUUGUUCCUUAACAAGAAUCUCCUGUUGUGUAUUUAACGAGCUAUUGUAGUGUAAAAAACGCUCUUAAAUUAUGGGACGAAGUGAGUAACGAUCAAAUCCAUGUACAGAAUAUACAGGAUACGAGCUCUCAACUUACGGUAUCCAGCUUCACAUGUUGCAUCAGUUAUUGCGGCCUCCUAUUUACAUGAACUGCCGGGGAAGAACAUAUCUAAAAUGCCGCCGCCUUGUGAUGAUUAUUAGCUGCUAACCGGGUCUAACUAGACGGGGUUAUCUUCAAAGUGGAUUUCGAGAAGGCUUAUGAUAAAGUAAAAUGGCCUUUUCUUCAACAGGCAAUGCGUAUGAAGGGUUUUAGUGAAACCUGGAGGAACCAAGUAGAUACUCAAGUCCAGAAGGGUAGUGUCGGAAUUAAGGUGAAUGAUGACAUCGGUCACUACUUCCAGACGCAUAAGGGGUUGAGACAAGGGGAUUCCAUGUCACCUCUUCUGUUCAAUAUUGUGGCAGAUAUGUUGGCCAUCAUUAUUGGCAGGGCUAAGCAGCAUGGUCAUGUAGAGGGUCUAGUUCCUCAUCUAGUAGAUGGAGGGGUGUCCAUUCUACAAUAUGCUGAUGAUACUAUUCUUUUCAUGGAACAUGACUUGGCUAAGGCACGAAACAUGAAACUUAUCUUAUGUCUUUUCGAACAAUUGUCUGGCUUAAAAAUUAAUUUUCAUAAGAGCGAGGUGUUCUGCUUUGGGAAAGCCAAAGGCGAGGAACAUACAUACAGACAGUUGUUUGGAUGCGAUUUAGGUGCUUUACCAUUCAGUUAUUUGGGUAUUCCGAUUCAUCACCGUAAGCUGUCCAAUAAAGAAUGGAAAUGUAUUGAAGAACGAAUUGAAAAAAAAACUCAGCUGCUGGAAGGGCAAACUGAUGUCAUAUGGCGGUCGGCUAGUUUUGAUUAACUCAGUUCUGACCAGCAUGCCAAUGUUUUUACUUUCGUUCUUCGAAAUUCCGAAAGGGGUCCGGAAGCGACUUGAUUUCUUUAGAUCUUGUUUUUUUUGACAGUCUGAUGAGGCCAAGAGGAAAUACCGCCUCGCGCGAUGGGAUAUCCUGUGUAGACCAAAAGAUCAAGGGGGGCUUGGUAUUGAGAACUUAGAAAUUAAGAAUAAAUGCCUUAUGGGCAAAUGGUUAUACAAGUUAGAGACAGAGCCGGAGGGCAUGUGGUCUCAAAUCCUGCGUAAUAAGUAUUUGCACACGAAAACGCUUGCCCAGGCUACCUUCAGACCCACUGAUUCGCCGUUCUGGAAGGGACUCAUGAGAGCGAAGGACAUGUUCUUUCGUAGGGUCAAAUUCUUGGUUGGCAACGGGAUGUCAACAAGAUUUUGGGAGGAUACGUGGCUAGGAGAGACGCCUCUGGCCUUACAAUAUCCUACCCUCUACAAUAUUGUGCAACGUAAGGAGGAGUACGUAGGUAUAGUCCUUCAAACUAUCCCCUUGAAUAUCCAGUUCAGACGUACGUUAGUGGGUGAGAGGUGGACAGCCUGGAUGCACUUGGUUCGGAGGUUGAUUGAAGUUCGACUCUCCGACAUGCCGGACUCAACAAAAUGGAAGUUAACUAAAAAUGGGAUAUUUACGGUGAAAUCUUUUUAUACGGAUUUGAUUAAUUGUGGCCCCCUCUCAAAGUCUUUGCAUAUUUGGAAGGUUAGAGUUCCUUUGCGGAUUACAAUCUUUAUGUGGUUUGUUCACAAGCAAGUUAUUCUCACAAAGGACAACCUUCUUAAGAGGCGAUGGGUAGGAAACUCGCGGUGUUGUUUUUGUGCUCAGGAUGAGACAAUACAACAUUUAUUUAUUGAAUGCCCACUUGCCAAGUUACUUUGGAGAACGAUUCAUAUAGCCUUUAAUAUCAAUGCUCCGGUAGAUAUUGCGUCUAUGUUUGGGACGUGGUUAGCUGGGAUUGAACAGAACAUGGCAGCUCGUAUUAGGAUUGGAAUAUGCGCGCUAUUAUGGGCCAUAUGGAACUGCAGAAAUGAUAUGAUUUUUAACAGACGACACAACUUAACUUUUUUGCAGGUUAUCUUCAGAGCUAUAGCUUGGAUCCGUACGUGGUCCUUACUCACUCCUAUGGACUCCAGGGAGCCUUUGGUUACUGGGUGCAACCAAUGGGAGAUGGUGGCUCGGGGUAUAUUCAACCGGUUCGGAUGGCGUUCACAUAAUAGGAUAGGAGUCUGGAGAGCUUAUCCUUAUUUUUACCGUUUCGGUUGUCUUUGCCAUCUUGUAUUUUUCUAGUUUUUUGUUUUCUGUUUUGCUCCGUUUGCGAGCUGUGAGACAAUCAUGACGUUACUUUCUGGAUUUUUAAUAAGAGGGCCGUAUGCAUCAUCAUGAUGCAGAGGCCGGGGGCAUGCCUCCAUUUCCAAAAAAAACCGGGUUUAACUAACUGAAUGCAGGGAUUCCUCCAAGUUUAUCCACCUCUAAUCACAGAACUGAACUUCGUGAACUGCCUGUAAACUCUAUCUAACCCUUUUGCAAGCUAAAAGGACAAAAAAAGAAAUCAUGUAAGAGAAAAAUUCACUGUACGUCAUUAAACUUGAGCCGGGUGACAGUUUGGUACCACUACUUCAAAAUACCCUAACUACUGUUCAAGUACUUACGCAAGGGGUUCACUUUGGUCCAUUUGUACGAUUUCGUGUACGCAUUUACUGACUUGGCCGAGUCAGCGGCUGCCAGCUCGCUUUGACCACCACCUGGUCGAUCCUAGGGUGAAUACUAGUCGAUCGGGGGGGUGGAGGGGUGGGGGGUGCAAAAUGACCUGGUCGCACCUGGUCGGACCGACCGUGCACCUGGUCGGCCGCUCGCUUAUCCUCUUCUUCUCCUCCCAACCCUAGCCCAUUGCCGACGUCGACGCCCUCCCCCGCCGCAGCCAUUGCCGACGCCUUCCUCCGCCGCCUCCGUCCCCAUCGUCAUGUCGUCUUCCAGCUCCGUCCACAAUGCAUUGUGUGGCCGCUUCGUUGUUGUACCAUUGAACGAGUACCCGGAUUGCGGCGAGCAGGUGAGGUUCUACCGGUCUAGCACCGAUGAGCACGAUGGAUGGAUCUUCUACAAGUGCAUCAACCAUACUGUAAGUGCCAAUUCCUAGCUACUUGUUGAUUCAUGCCGUGUCAAUUCUUAGCAACAGUAGUUGAAGCAGAGCACUGAUUAAAUUAGGCCAUUAGUUGGUUAACUAGUCAUUGCUCUAAUUAAUACAAUAGUUUAGACCGUCCUUGGUUGCAAAAUUACUCACAGAACUAGUUGGUUAACUAGUCUGCCAUUGAUUCAUGCACUCUAAACUUUACUGUCACUCUGUAAAAAAAUUUCUCAGGUCACUUGUGAUUUCUGGCGCUGGGAGCUUGAAUAUGUGAUGCAUCUAGUUGAAACAAGGCAUCUGGUUGGUGAUGCUGCUGUAGAUGCAAUUGGUGCAGCUAAGGACAGGAGGGAAGAGCUUGAGAGGCAGAGGAUUGAAUCAAUGGCAGGCAGAAGCACAACUGGAAGGGGCAUGGCUGGAAGAGGCACUGUAGGCAGAACUAAUUAUGCCAGCUCCAGUGAGAAUAAGUAUGCUACCAAGCCACAAGUUGCUAUGCUGUUAGGAUUAGGCAGAGAGAUUUUGCUGUUACUAAAGCUGCUGAUGGCUGUUGUUAUAGUGCUUUGUGUGAUGUGUUGCACCUUAAUUAUGAAGUGAAGUGUUGUUAAAUGAGUAGGUGUAGGUGUUCUAAGAGAUCUCUUAUUCUAAAUUGAGCAUACUAAAAGCCAUUGUAGUGGCACGGUUGUUUGCUCAACAUGAAGUCUUAGUUGUAAUGCUUGUUAUAAUGGAUAAUAUAUCAGUAAUCUGAAGACCUUGUCCUAAUGUUUGAACUGUAUUUGAUAUCAGAAGUGUAGUUAAACUAAUUCUGACAGAAGUGUACUUUCUCCUAAUUCUGUCAGAAUUGUACUUAUCCUCAUUGCUUUGAAAUUACUGACAGAACUGCUGUCAUAACUAAUUGUUGACAGAAAUGCACUUAACCUAAUUGCUGUCAUAACUGAACUAACUUAUGUUAACUAAUUGCUGUCAUAACUGUAACUCAUGUCAGCCGAGGUCCCCUUUCUCAACACAACUGAACUCAAAAGCAAGCAUGUACUUGCACCUGCUGCAAACACCCACCCAUCAACUUGCACUCUACAUGUAGCUUUGGUCCACCACCACAACCACACCACCACUAGAUCCCCUUCUUCUUCGUCAUCUUUCAUCUUCAAUUUCGUACACCACCAGAUCCCUUCUCUCCUCUGUCCAAUAGCACCACCAGAUCCCCUUCUCAUAUUCAUCCAGCAGUAACCAUGGUGUCCUGGGAUGAUCUUCCCAGUUCUUCUGAAGAUGACUCUGUGACCAGCAAGGUUAGUGUGCUCCCCACCCAGUCUAGGGUUUCUCAGCUAGGGUUUCUCUGUUAAUUGAUUCCAAAUGUCUCUCUUUUGUUUAGCCACCUGCCACAAUUUCCUGUGAGGAAUGGAGUGGCUUGGCUACAGAUCUGCCUAGCUUUAGAUGUGGGCAUGGAUCGUGUGAGAAGCAUGUGGCAUUUGAAUCUAUUAAUAGUGGCAGAAGGUUUCUAGCUUGUGCACAGAAGGUUAGUAUUUUUUUGCAUUUGGCACUGUUAAACAGGAAGUCAUUUGAAGUAGGUUUUUAGUUUCAUCAUCAUGCACAGAACUGAAUACUGGCAGUUAACUGAAUUUUUUGUUUGGUCUAAAUUGUUAGGAAGUACCUAAAUGCAGAUAUGUUGAGUGGGUUGACCCUGAGUGGCCUGAUGCUCUGAAGAUGAGCCUAGAUAGUAUAUGGACCAUGUAUGAAGAGGAGAAAAAACAGAGGCUCAGACAGAAUGUUGUGAGUGCUGAAGAAAACUUGAAGGUUCUUGAAGAGAAGAAGAAGAUGGAGAAUGGGUUGAGGCAUUUCAAGCUUGAUUUUGCUAAGAUGGUGGCUGAUAAGCAGCAUGCAAUGAGCCAAUUAAGCAGCACACAACUUGCUUUGACUGAUCUAAAGGAAGAACAUGAGAAGAAGAAGAUGACAGACAAGUCAGUAACCAACAUUCAUCAGGUCUUCAGGGUUAAAGCAUAGAAAGAGGGACCAGGCAGUGCAGGAGAGGGACCAAGUGAUUCAAGAGAGGGAUGAUUUGAAUCAUGAGAAAAGGAAGCUUGAGUACAUGAUUGGUGAAUGGUGACCUAUUCAAACACAAAGAGGCCACCAAGGAGAAGAUAAGGAUGCUGAAGGGCAUGCUGAAUGAAUUUGAUUGAAUUUGUGUCAUUGUAAAAAAAAUAUGACUUUGUAUCUUUCCUAGAAUGUGUACUGUCUGUCAAAUGAACAUGAACCUUCUCCUGGAUUUGUACCUCUUUUCCUCUUAUUUGUAACUUAAUUUGAUUGAAUUUGUGUCAGUGUAGUUAACCAAGGGCAUUUUUGUUAUCAAGCCAUUUUUGUUAACUCAAUUUCUAUCUUUCUGACAUGUAUAGUUAACCUAGGGCAUUUCUGCUAUCAGGACAUUUUGUUGUUAAGAAGGGCUAGUUACCAAAUUUAGUUAAGUAAAUAUAUCUAAUAAAAUCAAAUAACUAUAGUUGUUGUUGUUGUUGCCAUAUGUUAACUCAAAUUGAAGUUAUCUGUCAAUUAACUAAAUUGUAUUGCUGAAUUUGCUGCAAACUAAACAUAUGUACCAAAUUUUGAUUCAAGAAAAAAAAAUUAACUAUAGUUAUUUGACAAAGUUCAGUUAAGACAAAGUUCAGUUAAGAUAACUGAAUUUUAACAAUUGACUGAAUUUAGUUAUGUGAUAAAGUUCAGUUAAGACAAAGUUCAGUUAAGACAAAAUUCAGUUAAGACAUAGAUUCUUCUUUUGGAUUGUUGCCUUAUAUAGCAACAAGACACUUUUGUAUUGUUGCCUUAUAUAGCAACAAGACAACAUCAACUAGACAUCAGCAUCAACAACAUCAUCAACUUAUGUGAUUAAUAUACAAGCACACCUGAUAAACUACACUAUUUUAUAACUUAUAUGCUGAAAAUUUGUAUAUUUCAGCAUACCGAACUAACUGCAACUGCAUCUUCUUCAUGUUGGCAACUGCAUCUUCUUCAUCUUCAGUUCUUCAUCUUCUGGAGGCGCUCCGAGCGGCGAACCUCCAUGGCAACUGUCACCUUCCUCUUCUUCUUCCUCUCUGGCUGUGCUGCGACGUCAACCUGUGCUUCCAGGCCCAAGACCACCUCUACCUCCUGCUUGACGAUGUCAGGAACAUAUGGAAGCAACUCGACGUCAAUGGGACGGUUCUUGUCACCCUCCCUGGCGACGGGCGCCACCAUUUGGACCUCUGGCUCGGGGACGACGGGCGCCGCCACCUUGACCUCCGACUCAUCGUCAGAGAGGACAAUCACCUCCGGCUCCUCCCAGCCAGUCGACCAGGACGAGUCGGCGUCGUAGCUAGAGGUGUCGUCGGAGUACGAGUCGGCAUCAGAGAUGUCAUUGCGCACCAGCAGGUUGGGCUGGAAGCAGUCCCAGUACGCCGUGUUGACAAGCACGGGGAAGACUAGUUCAACAUCCUUGACGCGCUCCAUCCUGGAGGAAACAUGAUGCGGAUCGAGCUGUCCUGGCGUGGUGGCGGACCGGUACAUCCACCACUGCGCACGCUGCCGUAGGUCGUCGGAGCGCGUCUCUUGCAUCCCGAAACGAAGGACCAACGCCGGAGAGAUACCUUUGGGGUCGGUGAUGGCGCGGUCCAGCUCGUCCUCGGUCAUGACCUUGAGGAGGCCACGCGCGUGGUGACGCAUCAUUUCGAUGCUCGGGAACCCCGCCUGAUCUCCUUCAGGUCGGCGCGUAUGGCCUUGUCGUUGCCUGCCAGGUCGUUGAUGAGCCUAUGCCAGGCGGGGCUGUUCUCCAUGGCGUCGACGGUGGUGUGGUGCUCGGUGGCGGGGAUUUUCUUGACGGUGGAGUGGGAGUUUGGUAGCAGGGUAACCGAGGCGACGUGGGUGGACUGUGGACUGGAGGUGAGUGGAGAGUGGAGCGGUGGGUGGGUGGGCUUAAAGAGCAGAGAAGGAAACCAAAAAGGCAUGGGCCAUUGGGCCACUAGCAACUACUAAAUAGUUAGUUUAGUACCUGCCCUUGAUCAAAGCACUAGUACUUACCCCACUGGCAUUGCCCCCAAAUGUUCAAUACCACAGGUCCUGGGUUCGAGACCCAGGCCACCCUUUUUUGUUUUUAUUUUUUAUUUUUUAUUUUAUGCAGUUAAGUACAAAACCAGUGAAGAGAUAAAUGAACCACUGAUUCAUUGUAGUUUUCAUUUUGAAUUCAGUGAAUAAAGCCACUGAUUCUGCACUGAACUCUAACAAUUUUCAUUUUGAAUUCAGUGAAUCAAGCCAUUGAAUGAGUACAAAUAUUACAAGUGCAACAACACUGAAUCAUCUGAACUCUAAUAGUUUCAAAGAGUCUCAUUGCAGUUUUUGCCAAAAAAUUACAAGUGCAACAGCACCAAAUUCAGUUUCAAACAACACUGAAUCAUCUGAACUCAUCAAACAUGUUCGCUCUCUUCAGCUUCUUGGGCACAUGUCCACUUGGCCCUGCUUGCUUCCUCUGCUUAGCUCUUAUUCUCCUGGCCUCUUCUUGCUGUUUCUUCCUUGCUUCUUGAUCUUCUUUUCUCUUCAGUGCUGCCAUAGUUCUCUUUGCUUCUUGAUCUUUAUUUCUCUUCAGUGCUAUCUCUGCUUUAGCUGUCAUUGCUUCAAGGGCUCUGGCCUCCUUCUCUUCUUGCAAUGCAGAUUGUCUUGCUGCUGUAGCUUCCAGCCUUGCUGCAGAUUCCAUAGCUUUCUUCUCUUGUGCCGCUCUUCUUCUUAUUUCUGACUUCUUUGCUUUCCUCAUAAUUUCUUGCCUUUUUUGCUUAUGUCUCCUCUGCUUUCUUCUCUGCCAUCUCAUUCAUGGCCUCAAGUGUUGCAUCUCUCCUGGCUGCCACCUGUCUUUCUUUCUCUCUUUUCAUCUCCAGCAACUUCAUGGUCUGGUUGCCUUCAUUUGUAGUUGUUGUUGUCUGUGCUGAAGUGUGAGAACUUGCUUCUAGUGAGAUGAAUGAUGAAUCUGGCCAAAUGCUUUUAGUAUCUUCUCUAGGAACAGGGCUGGAUUGUUGCAUCCUAUGAAGCAUUGUAAAUCCAAAGUCCUACACCUGUACAAAACAAUCAUCACAUGCUAGCAUCAGUACAACAAAAAAGGAAUGGGCCUGAAAAGUAUAACUAAAAAAAGGAAGGGACAAAAGUGGAGAAUUUGCCUGAAAAACAACUGCCGUAUCUGCUCCAUCAUCUUGUGUGACAAUGACCUCCUCAUGUGUAUCUUGGCCAUCAACACAGACCUCCUCAUGUGUAACUUGGCCAUCAACAUGGACCCCCUCCUAUGUAACUUGACCAUCAUCUUGUGUGACAUGAACCUCCUCCUGUGUACCUUGGCAAUCAUCUUGUUGUGGUAGAACAAGUUCAUCAUCUGACACAUCAUCAGGAAUGGCCCUUGGACCCCUUCUUGUUGUUCUCUCUGCUAGAUUUGGCAAAAUGCCAGCCUUUCUUUGAUUACUGUUGGGGAACGCAAUAAUUUCAAAAAAAAAUCCUACGAUCAUGCAAGAUCUAUCUAGGUGAUGCAUAGCAACAAGAGGGGAGAGUGUGUCCACGUACCCUCGUAGACCGAAAGCGGAAGUGUUAUGACAAUGCGGUUGAUGUAGUCAUACGUCUUCUCGAUCCGACCGAUCCUAGGACCGAAGGUACGAUACCUCCGUGAUCUGCACACAUUCAGCUCGAUGACAUCCCAUGAACUCUAGAUCUAGCUGAGGUCGCGGGAGAGUUUCAUUAGCACGACGGCGUGGCGACGGUGAUGAAGAAGUUAGCGGCGCAGGGCUUCGCCUAAGCACUACGACGAUAUGACCAAGGUGUGUAACUGUGGAGGGGGGCACCGCACACGGCUAAAAUAAUUGUCUGUUGUGUGUUCUAGGGUGCCCCCUGCUGAAAGUGCAAUCAUGCCCUUAAUCAUAUUUUGAUGUUGAUGACAACAUGCAUGUUGGGACUAAUCAUGUUUAUCAAGUAUAUCUCAGGAUUAUGUCUCAAGGGCGGUGUGUGGAUCAUGACUACGGACAUAAAACAUAUAUAUACAUAUAUCACUCGAGAGCAGAGACACAAGACAAAGACAGAAAGCUUCGGCUUCUUUUUCGGUUUGUUCUUGAGUAUAGGGAUCCCACAAUAUUAAGAGGGGAUCAAUGGAUUUUGUGAAAGAACUUGCUCAAACCCACAAAAUUCACUCACAUAUCAUCUCAAGAUUCUUCCUCUAACUUAUGCAUAAAUAUUGGUAUGGUCCUGAGAAGUUCAGCUACCACCGGACGUCCGAAAGUCUACGGACGUCCGUCCUCUCUCAGUUGACCAUACCUCCGGCUCUCACCGGUUGUUCGGUGCAUCUCCACAUAACUGAUAUUAGUGGAAGACCGGUCCCACCAAACGUCCGGCCACCGGACGUCCGCUCACCUCUGGAUAUCCGUUGCACGUCAACAGAAUGAUAUUUGCGUAUUUCCGACAACCCCGGACGUCCGGCCACCGGACGACGGUGCCUUCCGGGCGUCCGCUGACUGUAUAGUCCCAUACCUCGUCUGUGCCCCUGGUAGAUGUUCCAGCGACCGGACGACCGACGACCCAGGUGGACGUCCGGUCUAAUCUGUGGCACCGGUCAUCCGGUACCCACCGGGCGUCCGUCAGACCCUGUGCACUAAGUCGCUCAACGGUCUAUUUUCCACUCCCACUAUAUAUAGCCUUCUUCCCCCACAGGAGAGGGUUGACCAUUCACUUUGAGCUUGCCAAGAACACUUUUCACUCCUCUCUCACUCCUCUACACCAAAUCCUAGAUCCCCAAGUGAUUUGGGAACAUUUGAGAGAAGUUCUCCAAUCAAGUGAUAGAUCCACUCCUUCCCCUUAUUUGCACCAAAGAAAUUCGUGAUUUGAGCAAGUCUUGAGCUUUUCCCCAUCGUUCUUAUUACUCUUGGAGGUUGGAGACUCCUAGGCGGUAGGAGUCAUUCGGUGAUGAAUCAACCAUUGUGAUUACCCCCGGAAAGUUUGUGAGGGUUUGGAGACCACCCCAAGGUUUACCACUAGUGGUUGAGAAAUGCCUUCGUGGUGUUGUCUCAAAGAGAGAAUAGGGCGAGCCUUCGUGGCGUUGGUGUGCCUUCGUGGUAACAUCCACCUCUCUAAACGGUGACGUAGCUUCCCUCCAAGGAAGUGAACAUCGGCAUACAUCCUCGUCUCUCAGAGUUGUGGUUAUUCCUAACCCUAACUCCCUACUUGUGGUUACUUGUAUCUUGCACUUACGUUUAUCAUAUUGUGCUUGCUUACUCAUAUAUUUGUGCCACUUGUUUAUCUUGCUUAGCACUUAGUGUCACACUAGCAAUUGUUAGGCUUACUUACAUAUUCCGCAUUAUUGCCUAAAAUUGCUAAGUAACAAUUAAAAUUAGUUGUUGUACCUAUGCACCCCCCUCUAGGUCCAUCUCGAUCCUUUAAAUUGGUAUCAGAGCCUCAUGCUCUAUUCUUGUGGCUGAACUGCCCUAGAGCAAGAUGAACCCCGAUGGGACUCCCCUUGUUGCAGAUCCAAAGGAUAAAGGCGAGGCUUCUUCAGAAGUCAAGUCCUUUACCUCUGAGGAUCUGGAACGGGACCUUGCUAAGCAAAAAGAGGAGCAUGAUGCUUCUCUUGAGGCCUUGGUCCAAAUGAGAAUAUCCAUGUUGUCCACGGUGCUUGCACCACUUUCGGGUGGUGCAGCUUCGAGGCCAACUGUGCCUACUCCGUCACUUGGUCAACAACCUCCUAGCAAUGAUCACUCCAGUGUUCCUUGGCUUUAUGCAAUACCCCAAGUUGAGAAACCGAAAUAUAACCCUCAAGGCAAACCUCCUUUACUUGAUGCCACUUCCGAUUUUGCCUUGUGGAGAGUUGCUAUGCAGGAUCAUCUUCGAUAUGGAAAUGAUGAGAUGCUGGAGAUCUUGGAGUAUGGUUACCAUGUGGUUGAUCUAAAGAAUCCUACACCAAGAGAAAUUUAUGACAAUAAUCUCAAUGACACUGCAACCAUGUGUAUAAAGAGAGGUAUGGUUGAAAAGCAAAGGAGACCUUUCAUACACAUCACAAGUGCCAAGGAACUAUGGGAAAGUAUCAUAAGAUCCAAGACUGGUACCUCCACCCUCCGGAGUGCUCAAUAUGAAAUUGCCCAGGGGCAAUUGCAAAAAUUUUGUAUGGAGAAAGGUGAAACUCCCAAUCAACUCCUUGAGAAUCUCAUGACUCUCACCGUUGACAUUGAGUCAUGUGAGUGUGACAAGACACAAGAUGGAUUCAACAUGACUAAGCGAUUCCUUGUGGACAAGUUGCUUCAUGCUCAUGCCCCAUAUCACCAUCAAAUGGUGUGGGACAUAAGACAACACCAUGCCUUCAAGGUAAUGACUAUAGAUGACAUCAUAUCACCUUCCAACUAUUUGAAGAGUCGAAGGCAAAUGCCACAAAACAUCUUGCCAUGCAUGGUACUCCAACAUCAAAGAUCAAGCAUUGAAGGCCAAGCAUGUGUGUGAAGAUGAGCAAAGUGAAGAAGAAGAAGAAGAUGAUGAUGAUGAGCUUGAAUCCGAUGAGGGCCCUUCAUAUGAAGACAUGGCUCUCUUUGUCAAGAAGUUUAGCGCGGGAAAAUUCAAGGGAAGAUUUCAAAAGAAGAAAGUAAGAAAAUGCUACAACUGUGAAGAAACCAACCACUUCUCCAAUGAGUGCCCUUAUGAGAAGAGAGAGGAUAAACCAAGGUUUCCCAAUACCUUUCCCAAGAAGAAGUUGCCAAAUCCUUUGAACUCGAAGCUCAAGUAGAGAGAUGGGAAAGCAAUGGUUGCUCAAGAAGAAUCCGAUCCGGAUGAUGUUAAUGGUGUUGCCGGAGUUGCUCAAGAUUCUCAGAACACAUUGAAGCUAGUCAACAAGAGUGGUGAUGUUGUCACCUACAACUACAUGAGUGACUACAAGGGCAAGGCUCACAAGUGCCUCAUGGCAAAGUCCAUGGUAGAAGAUGGAGAGGACCAACACUCUCCUGACAAGGUCAAGGUAACCCCACGAUCAAACCCUCCUCUUUUCACUCCUUCUACUCCUAGUGAUGAGUAUCUUGAUGCAGAGGAUAGUUAUGAGGAUGAUGAUCUAGAUGAUCCUAUGCUUGCUAAACUUAAUAAGUUCAUGUGCUCCCUCAAAGGAAAGAAGCUCACUAUGUUUCGUAUGCUUAUGGAGAUGGUGAGUAAGCACACCAUCACCAUUAAGGAACUCGAAACCCUCGUCACCGAGGAAAAGGAAAAAUGUGAAAUCCUUGAGCGAAAAGUCCAAUAUGAGGAAGCACGAAAUGAUGAACUAUGCUUAAAAGUUGGUGCAAACAUUGAUGUUCAUACUAAAGAUCUUGCCUCCUUGAAAAAGGCUAUUGACUCUUGCGAAGAGUUGAUGAAUGAUAGAAGUAAGCUUGUGAAGUCUCAUGCUUCUCUCUCUAAGGAUUGUGAGCUUCUACCUGUGUCCCUCAAGACUAAGGAAGAAGAGCUCACCCUUCUUACAAAUAGUUUUGAGAUGCUCAAACUUACUUAUCUUGAAACUCCAGCCAAGGCUUACUCUUCUCCUAUUAUCAAUGUUGAUGCUUGUACUACUAACUCUAGUAGUGAUCUAGCAUCUAUUCUUGAGGAAAAUCGCUUUCUCAAGGCUCAAAUCAAGAAAGGUCUCAUGACAUGUGCUCAAGGGCAAAAGAAUCUUAAUGAGAUAUUGAGCCAACACAAUGAGGUGUUUGCCAAAGAGGGACUUGGGUUUGACCCAAGCUCAAGCAAGAAGAAUACGUCCUCUCAAAAGUGCACAACCCCUCUAAAGGAAACAUUUGUACGAUAAGGGCACAAGGAGAAAGGUAAGGUUGUUAGUGGGAAGGCCACAAGGGGCAUGCCCACUCUCAACAAGCCAAAAGAGUUCAUGCCUCCAUCCUAUGUACUUUGUAAGACUAAGGACGGAGAAGUUUAUGCAAAAUUUGUUGGUCCUCGAAAUGCAUUCCGAUUCUAUGCUAUUUGGGUCCCUAAGACCCUUGUGACUAACUUGAGAUGUCCCAUUGCAAAAUGGGUGCCUCUAACCAAGUCAUAAUUGUGUGUAGGUUGCCUUCUCCGGUGGAGUAAAAUGGGUGAUUGAUAGUGGAUGUACCAAUCAUAUGACCGGAGAUAGCAAAUUGCUCUACGAUUUCAUGGAUUCUAUUCAACCAUUCAUGAGCAUUAUGUUUGGUGGAGGUUCAAAAGGACAGGUACUCGGGUUGGGCAAUGUGGCUAUCACAAAUGACAUGUCUCUUGCAAAUGUCAUGCUUGUCCAAUCCCUUAAAUACCAUUUGCUUUCUGUUCGCCAAUUGGCUUCUGUUGGUUAUGAUACACUCUUUGGACUAACAAAUGUGAAAGUAUUUAAGAGAGAUACUCUCGAAGUGGCCAUUGUUGGAGAGUUGGAUGUCAAGCUUUACAUAGUUGAUUUCUCGAAAGAGAGCACAUUCCAUGCAACUUGUAUAAUGGCUAAGGCCGACAAGGGGUGGCUAUGGCAUCGCCGGCUAGCCCAUGUCGGCAUGAGAAAUCUUCAAGAUCUCUUAAAGGGGAAUCCCAUCCUUGGACUAACCAAUAUCUCUUUUGAGAAAGAUCGUGUGUGUAGUGCAUGCAUAGCAGGGAAGCAACAUCAAUCAAAGCACCUACCCAAGAACAUUGUAUCUACUUCAAGGCCCCUGGAGCUCCUUCAUGUGGAUCUUUUUGGGCCUCCUUCAUGGGAUAGUCUUGGUGGGAAAAAGUAUGGACUUGUCAUUGUUGAUGAUUACUCAAGAUAUACAUGGGUGUUUUUCCUCAAGUACAAGGAUGAGACGAAGAUUGAGGGAGUCCUGGAUUAGGGGGUAUCCGGACAGCCGGACUAUAUACUUUGGCCGGACUGUUGGACUAUGAAGAUACAAGAUUGAAGAUUUCGUCCUGUGUCCGGAUGGGACUCUCCUUGGCGUGGAAGGCAAGCUUGGCGAUUCGGAUAUGUAGAUCUCCUUCUCUGUAACCGACUCUGUGUAACCCUAGCCCCCUCCGGUGUCUAUAUAAAUCGGAGGGUUUAGUCUGUAGGACAACAACAAUCAUAAUCAUAGGCUAGCUUCUAGGGUUUAGCCUCUACGAUCUCGUGGUAGAUCAACUCUUGUAAUACUCAUAUCAUCAAGCUCAAUCAAGCAGGAAGUAGGGUAUUACCUCCAUCGAGAGGGCCUGAACCUGGGUAAACAUCGUGUCCCCAGCCUCCUGUUACCAUUAGCCUUAGACGGACAGUUCGGGACCCCCUACCCGAGAUCCGCUGGUUUUGACACCGACAUUGGUGCUUUCAUUGAGAGUUCCACUAUACCCUCGUGAUAAGGCUUGAUGGCUCCUUCAAUCAUCUUCAACGACACAGUCCAGGGGGGAGGUUUUCCUUCCCGGACAGAUCUUCGUAUUCGCCGACUUCGCACUGCAGGCCAAUUCGCUUGGCCAUCUGGAGCAGAUCGAUAGCUAUGCCCCUGGCCACCAGGUCAGGUUUGGAAGCCUAAACUACACUGCCGACAUCCGUGGAGACUUGAUCUUCGACUGAUUCGAGCCCGUGUCAGGAGCACCGAACAGUCCCGACGAGCAUGACUUAGAUCUGCCAUCGGACGAUAUUCGAGGGAUCGCGCCUGCGGCUGCCCGGGGAAUCAAUCCGGAGCAGAUUGCGCCAUCCGAGGACGGGUGGAUGGACCCCGCCAUGGAGGCCGCACACUCAUCGGCCUUGGAGCCGAACACUCAUUCCACCUCCUAUGAGGUCGGUACCAUCAGACCCUCGGACUCGUCUCCGGCUACAGGAUCCGAACCGCGUACGCUCGUGCCCAUCGAAUUUGAUUGGGAACCAGUCAUGGAGUUCACCUCCGCGGAUAUCUUUCAGCACUCACCCUUGGGUGACGUGCUAAACUCAUUAAGGUCUCUCUCUCUUUGUUAGGAGACUCUUGGCCGAACUAUGUCCGAAUCGAUUGGGAAGCGGACGAUGAAGAAAUUUGUUCCCUACCCACCACCCACUUAAUAGCCACUAUCAAUGACCGAACCGACGUGCUCGACUUCGACUCCGAAGACAUUGAUGGUAUGGACGACGAUGCAGGAGACGAACAGGAACCACCGCCUAUCGGGCGCUGGACAACCACCUCAUCAUAUGAUAUAUAUAUAUAUAUAUAUAUAUAUAUAUAUAUAUAUAUGGUGGACAUCCCCAAAGAAGGCAAUGGCGAUGAGACAAUGGAGGAUAAUCCCUCGGAGAAGCAAUCUAGGCACCGGCAUCAUAGAUGCCGCUCCAAGCCCCACCAUAGAAAAAAUAAUGAUACCGGCACAAGAUAUGACAACAAUUCGGAUGGUGCAAAGACAAAAACAAUC
rnacentral:lncRNA from 1 species